rnacentral:rRNA from 1 species
AGCCGCGGUAAUACGAAGGGGGCUAGCGUUGUUCGGAUUUACUGGGCGUAAAGCGCACGUAGGCGGAUCGUUAAGUCAGGGGUGAAAUCCCAGAGCUCAACUCUGGAACUGCCUUUGAUACUGGCGAUCUCGAGUCCGGAAGAGGUAAGUGGAACUCCUAGUGUAGAGGUGGAAUUCGUAGAUAUUAGGAAGAACACCAGUGGCGAAGGCGGCUUACUGGUCCGGAACUGACGCUGAGGUGCGAAAGCGUGGGGAGCAAACA